AGCCGGGUAGUGGGCAACGAUAAAAUACUGGAGAAAUCCGGGAAAGUUGCCAGCCGUCUUUGUGCGGUGUUCAAGUACCUGGCUGCCUCUCU
rnacentral:ncRNA from 1 species